UACCUAUUCAUAAGGUUCACGUGACGUCACUGUAGCUUUGCGCCGCCAUCUUGACGACCGAUCCCACCCACUGACCCACUGAUUUCAGUGGUAACUCAGCACCAACAACAACACCUACGACCACAAUCAAACAAUGAGGAUGCGCUCUUUUAUUCUCUUUAGUGCAGGUAAUGAAAGGUGAAAAAAAAUGAGCCAAAUACCCGAGAAAGGACUAAUAAUUCAAAUUUCGGUGUCACCCACUCUAUUUCAUCCUUAAGCCCAGUUCAGACCAAAGAUUCACCUUGCAACGAGACGGUUUUAGAACGUCGCAGGGGCGGUGUGAACAGGUCGUUGCAAGCCGUUGCAAGGAGUUGCAAGGCGUCUCAAGGAGUUGCAAGGAGUCGCCAGAGAUUGAACAUGUCAAAUCGCAAGGUCCAGUUUUAGAACGCGGCGAUUUAACUAUUCCUCUUCAGCCAAUCACAGCACAGAACAACUUGUACGUCACGGCCUUACUCCGUCCCGGUACCGUACUGUCCACUCCAGCAUAAAUAGAUCCGAAGAUGGCAGACUUCUGGUCCGAGGAGAGGGAAGAGAAAUUAAUUUGGUUGCUGGAGGAUCAACCUGUCCUAUACGACGUUGGCAGCAAGGGGUACAGCAACAGGGACAGCAAGAGGAGAGCGUGUUGUGAAAUUGCGGUGGCAAUUGGUGUAUCCGAUUGUUGAAAGAGAGAAUGAUGUGGAGGGACUGGACGAGGAAGAGGACGUGGAAGUAGAGGAGAGCAGUGAACCUGAGGGACAAGGCAGCACCUGCCUUGUCCCUCAGGUUCAGACGCAGGCGUCUAAUCGUUCUGUCGCAGGCGGUAAAAGAAAGAGGCAAACAGAAAAGCAAGAUGAGGUCCUAACUGCAGUUGGCAAUUUUCUGAGAAACAGGACGGAACAGAGGGAGGAGGACACAAUGUCAGUCUUUUGUAAGAACCUCGAGAUGAAAAUGAGGCGAAUCAAGGACCCAAAUAUUUGAUUCGAUUUAGAGCACCAGCUAGAGGAAGCCUGCUACCAGGCUUCACUUAAAGAUAGAGACAACCAAGCCCCCCCCCCCCCAAGCCUCUCACAUCUCUUAAUUUGUUUUAUUCAUUUUUAGAUAUUUAAUUGGUUAUUGCAAAUUUGAAUUGCCCCUUCUCUUACCUUCGCCUCAUUUU
rnacentral:lncRNA from 1 species